rnacentral:rRNA from 1 species
UGUUUCGGCAAGGGGGUCAUCCCGACUUACCAACCCGAUGCAAACUGCGAAUACCGGAGAAUGUUAUCACGGGAGACACACGGCGGGUGCUAACGUCCGUCGUGAAGAGGGAAACAACCCAGACCGCCAGCUAAGGUCCCAAAGUCAUGGUUAAGUGGGAAACGAUGUGGGAAGGCCCAGACAGCCAGGAUGUUGGCUUAGAAGCAGCCAUCAUUUAAAGAAAGCGUAAUAGCUCACUGGUCGAGUCGGCCUGCGCGGAAGAUGUAACGGGGCUAAACCAUGCACCGAAGCUGCGGCAGCGACGCUUAUGCGUUGUUGGGUAGGGGAGCGUUCUGUAAGCCUGUGAAGGUGUGCUGUGAGGCAUGCUGGAGGUAUCAGAAGUGCGAAUGCUGACAUAAGUAACGAUAAAGCGGGUGAAAAGCCCGCUCGCCGGAAGACCAAGGGUUCCUGUCCAACGUUAAUCGGGGCAGGGUGAGUCGACCCCUAAGGCGAGGCCGAAAGGCGUAGUCGAUGGGAAACAGGUUAAUAUUCCUGUACUUGGUGUUACUGCGAAGGGGGGACGGAGAAGGCUAUGUUGGCCGGGCGACGGUUGUCCCGGUUUAAGCGUGUAGGCUGGUUUUCCAGGCAAAUCCGGAAAAUCAAGGCUGAGGCGUGAUGACGAGGCACUACGGUGCUGAAGCAACAAAUGCCCUGCUUCCAGGAAAAGCCUCUAAGCAUCAGGUAACAUCAAAUCGUACCCCAAACCGACACAGGUGGUCAGGUAGAGAAUACCAAGGCGCUUGAGAGAACUCGGGUGAAGGAACUAGGCAAAAUGGUGCCGUAACUUCGGGAGAAGGCACGCUGAUAUGUAGGUGAAGCGACUUGCUCGUGGAGCUGAAAUCAGUCGAAGAUACCAGCUGGCUGCAACUGUUUAUUAAAAACACAGCACUGUGCAAACACGAAAGUGGACGUAUACGGUGUGACGCCUGCCCGGUGCCGGAAGGUUAAUUGAUGGGGUCAGCGCAAGCGAAGCUCUUGAUCGAAGCCCCGGUAAACGGCGGCCGUAACUAUAACGGUCCUAAGGUAGCGAAAUUCCUUGUCGGGUAAGUUCCGACCUGCACGAAUGGCGUAAUGAUGGCCAGGCUGUCUCCACCCGAGACUCAGUGAAAUUGAACUCGCUGUGAAGAUGCAGUGUACCCGCGGCAAGACGGAAAGACCCCGUGAACCUUUACUAUAGCUUGACACUGAACAUUGAGCCUUGAUGUGUAGGAUAGGUGGGAGGCUUAGAAGUGUGGACGCCAGUCUGCAUGGAGCCGACCUUGA